CAGGCCCGCACCAUCCCACUGACUGCUGCCCCUCCUACACCUCACGAAAUAUCCGAUGUGGAAACAUGGCCGGUUUUUACAAAACAAGCAGUGGGUGCCCCAAGCCUGCUGUAAUCUUCUUAACCAAGAGGGGGGAAAAGGUCUGUACCGACCCCUUCAAUGAGAGAGUUCAGGAAUGCGAGAUGAAGCUGGAGUCAAAAAAUACACAGAGAGAAGUGUCAGUUGAUGAGUAGCUACAAUAGAUGCCACACGCCCACCUCCACUCUCUCACCUUCUGGGAGUUUCCUGGCCUGAAUUCUCUUGUCAAAAGCAACAAUUAUUGUACUCUUCUCUGCAAAAACUGUGCACCAGUAAAAAGUAUCCAAUUUAACUUCACUUAAACUUUAGGAGGAAUAAGAAAUGUAGAAAUUGCGAAACUUUGG